rnacentral:rRNA from 1 species
CGAGGUGGAGGAGAGAGACAAGGUGGGGGCUGCGGCAGGGCUAACACAUGCAAGUCGAACGGUAACAGGAAAAAGCUUGCUUUUUCGCUGACGAGUGGCGCACGGGUGCGUAACGCGUAUACAAUCUACCUCUUACUGGGGAAUAGCCUUUGGAAACGAAGAAUAAUACCCCAUGGUAUCUAGAUUUCGCAUGAAAUUUGGAUUAAAGCUUCGGCGGUAAGAGAUGAGUAUGCGUUCUAUUAGCUAGAUGGUGUGGUAACGGCACACCAUGGCAACGAUAGAUAGGGGCCCUGAGAGGGGGAUCCCCCACACUGGUACUGAGACACGGACCAGACUCCUACGGGAGGCAGCAGUGAGGAAUAUUGGACAAUGGGCGAAAGCCUGAUCCAGCCAUGCCGCGUGCAGGAAGACUGCCCUAUGGGUUGUAAACUGCUUUUAUACGGGAAGAAACCCAUCUACGUGUAGGUGGCUGACGGUACCGUAAGAAUAAGCAUCGGCUAACUCCGUGCCAGCAGCCGCGGUAAUACGGAGGAUGCAAGCGUUAUCCGGAAUCAUUGGGUUUAAAGGGUCCGUAGGUGGAUUGGUAAGUCAGAGGUGAAAGCCUGCAGCUCAACUGUAGAACUGCCUUUGAUACUGCUAGUCUUGAAUUAUUGUGAAGUGGUUAGAAUAUGUAGUGUAGCGGUGAAAUGCAUAGAUAUUACAUAGAAUACCGAUUGCGAAGGCAGAUCACUAACAAUAUAUUGACACUGAUGGACGAAAGCGUGGGGAGCGAACGGGAUUAGAUACCCCGGUAGUCCACGCCGUAAACGAUGGUCACUAGCUGUUCGGACUUCGGUCUGAGUGGCUAAGCGAAAGUGAUAAGUGACCCACCUGGGGAGUACGUUCGCAAGAAUGAAACUCAAAGGAAUUGACGGGGGCCCGCACAAGCGGUGGAGCA